GACGAACGCUGGCGGCGUGCCUAAUACAUGCAAGUCGAGCGCGUGAAAUACAACAGAACCUUCGGGUGACGUUGUAUGGAUCGAGCGGCGAACGGGUGAGUAACACGUGGGCAACCUGCCUACAAGACUGGGAUAACUCCGGGAAACCGGGGCUAAUACCGGAUAAUCCAUCGAACCGCAUGGUUCGGUGUUGAAAGAUGGCUUUUAGCUAUCACUUGUAGAUGGGCCCGCGGCGCAUUAGCUAGUUGGUAGGGUAAUGGCUUACCAAGGCAAUGAUGCAUAGCCGAGUUGAGAGACUGAUCGGCCACAUUGGGACUGAGACACGGCCCAA
rnacentral:rRNA from 1 species